UACGGGGGGAGCAAACGUUGUUCGGAAUUACUGGGCGUAAAGGGCGCGUAGGCGGCCUGUUAAGUCGAACGUGAAAUCCCCGGGCUCAACCCGGGAACUGCAUUCGAUACUGCCAAGCUAGAGUCCCGGAGAGGAUGGUGGAACUCUCGGUGUAGAGGUGAAAUUCGUAGAUAUCGAGAAGAACACCGGUGGCGAAGGCGGCCAUCUGGACGGUGACUGACGCUGAGACGCGAAAGCGUGGGGAGCAAACAGG
rnacentral:rRNA from 1 species